UCGCACAAAUUCGUGGAAGAA
rnacentral:piRNA from 1 species